GAAUAGAGCAAAGAGAGCAGCAAAGGAUGAGCUUUCACCUCCUAAAAUGAAGAAGAUUCGGGUCUCUCAAGAUACAGUUCAUACGUACGACAAAUUUGUCAUACAUGGUCGGAAAUUAAAGAGGCAGCCGAAGAAUGAUAUCCCCAAAGCUUUUGUUCAGAUUGGACGCUACUUUUGCACAUACAGAAGCUUUGUAGCUUCUCUCAAGCCUCGAAUGCCACUAGAUAGCCAGGUAAUGGAUGUGUGGACUGAGAAGUUCAACCGUGAAUCAUCAUUAUUGGCUGCGAAAAGCAACCGAGCGAAGAAAAAGUAUGCAUUCUCGCAGCAUAUGGUGACUAAGCUAAUUGUCGAUCCAGCAACAUUCAAUCCAAAUGAAUGCAUGAAAGAUUUCAAGUCCGAAGUCAGCAAGUCAAAAAUGCUAAAAGAUGACCUUGUGAGCUUUUUAUUUUGUAACUUGUUUUUCCUGUUGCAUCUCAUUUUUGGUAGACUUCAGAAGGUUCUUAUUUUGUUUCAAUGGUGUUCCGUAGCUGUACUUUCCUGUUGUGAAAGACUACCACUGGAUUGUGUGUUCUGUCAAUCUUGUGCACAAGCAGUACCACAUUUUUGAUUCAUUGCUUAAAGCUGAUGGUACCAGCAAGUUGCAAGAAGCUGCAAAUAAUCUGUUCACAAACUUCAGGAGGCUUGUCAAUGAGUCAGGUCUAGCAAAGAUUGAUUGGUCCCUUUACAACUUGUCUACACCUGACCAUCCACAACAGAAGACAACGUAAGUUUCGUUGUUUUCAGAGCCUUUUUUGCAAAAUCCAAAUUGUUACCCAAACAUACAACUCACAC